rnacentral:rRNA from 1 species
CUACGGGAGGCUGCAGUGGGGAAUAUUGCACAAUGGGCGCAAGCCUGAUGCAGCCAUGCCGCGUGUAUGAAGAAGGCCUUCGGGUUGUAAAGUACUUUCAGCGGGGAGGAAGGGAGUAAAGUUAAUACCUUUGCUCAUUGACGUUACCCGCAGAAGAAGCACCGGCUAACUCCGUGCCAGCAGCCGCGGUAAUACGGAGGGUGCAAGCGUUAAUCGGAAUUACUGGGCGUAAAGCGCACGCAGGCGGUUUGUUAAGUCAGAUGUGAAAUCCCCGGGCUCAACCUGGGAACUGCAUCGGAUACUGGCAAGCUUGAGUCUCGUAGAGGGGGGUAGAAUUCCAGGUGUAGCGGUGAAAUGCGUAGAGAUCUGGAGGAAUACCGGUGGCGAAGGCGGCCCCCUGGACGAAGACUGACGCUCAGGUGCGAAAGCGUGGGGAGCAAACAGGAUUAGAUACCCUAGUAGUC